rfam:Ammonifex degensii KC4, complete genome.
GAAGCCCUGCGGUGAGCGUGGACCUCUUGAAGUCCUGAGCCAACACCAAAAGAAAGGGAGCCCGGACUCUGGUUGCGGCUCGCACGCCUCCGCGUGAGGUAGCGAAAAGUGGCCAGGAGGGCACCCACCUGUCGGGGGACGGGUUCACGGAGACUUUGAGGGUUCACGGCACGCGCGGGGUUUUC